GGUCCAGGAGAUGCCUAGAAAGAAUCAAGAAUGUACAAGCACGGGAGGAGGAGCAAGCACAAGCAAGAAGAGAAAGGCUUCUUUACAGUCCAACUCCAACCGAGAAGAUUCUCCGCCUCCGAGGGAUGACCUAUCACGCAUAUUACGCAAGAGCCUACUUCCCUGUGGUUAUCCUAUGCCAUCUAAGAUUGCUGG